rnacentral:lncRNA from 1 species
UGAUAAUUAGUGGGAACUAUGAGGAAGUCAUAUGCAAAGAUUAAUUACCAACUGAGCUCUGAGAACAUUUUUCUUCCUUUGUAAUCUUACCUCCUGAGAGAAAUAGUCUAUAUUGGUCCUAGAGUGAAUUGACAGAUAUGUCCAGAAAGAAAAGCCACUGACUUUAAUCUUUAUUGGUCAUGCUUAAUUGGAUUGUUAAGACAAUGCUGCAUGUGUCCUUCCCAGGCUGCAAAUUGCCAGGUUACUGGAGAGUUUCCUGUAUGGAUACUAAUUAUGCUUAAUUUGGUCCUGAGAUUUCCGCAUUUGUCUUUCUGUCACAAAGU